UAAAAAUUUCAAAAAAUUGUUUUAAAGGAAAGAUUGAAUAGAAGGUCCAUGAUAUAAGCUGAAUCAUUAAAUUAUUAAUAAAGAAUUAAUGAAUCAUUGUCUUAAAUUUUCCAAUAACAUACUUUAUUUCAGACAUAGUUCCCUGAUAAGGUUCACAUUCAUUGGUGCCUAAAUAAACAAAUAUUCAGAAUAUUUCAAAAUAUUUUCAUGAAAAGUCAUAGGAAAAAGAGUAACUAAAUUGUGUAUUUUGCCCAGCCAUGUUUUCAUUGGUCCACCUUUUCACUUAAGAAAAGUGUAUUCCACACAUUACUUGAACAUGGCACACAGAAUUGUUUUGUGUUUAGAAUCUGAGAUACCUAUCUACCAGCUGAAAUACAAUAAUUUGUACAGAAUGGAAUGAUGUCAUAUAAGUCUGAAAUUGUAUUAGAAUUUCUGAAAAUAAUUAUAAUAAUAAUGAUAAUCAUGUGAUGUGCAACAACUAAUAAAAAUGACAUAACUGUGGAAUAUUAUUGCGGAAUACAACUAUGGAAUAUUUUGGCUGUUAUUGACCUCCAAUAUGACUCUCUUUAUUAUGUGAUACUUUUGAAACACAAAAGCUUCAGCUCAUGACCUGCUAAUAAAAAAAACUGUAAACCAAAUUGUUUAAAUUGUGUGGUAAUAUAAAAUAAGGAUGUGCAAAAAUAUGAUCAAUUAUAAAUAUGGUCUUGCACCUUCAAGAAGUUGUAUCCCAAAACGAACAUCAUAAAGUACAUAUGCAUUUGUAUUACAGAACAAGUAACUUCACUUGUCAAAAUUCAGAUAGCUCUCUAUUGUAAUAAUGCAGAGUAACCUUUAAAGGACACACAAUGUUGAUAAAAAUCAGGCUUGGCAAGUUCCUUCCACAGUAUCAAAAAUCCAGGAAAAGACGAGCUGGAAGAAAUUUGUUUCCACUAAAGUGAAAGUAGCCAGAUGGAAUCAUCUUUUGGUAUGGGUCCAAUAAGCAGUCUGCAGAUCGAUUCUAUCUUGCUUUAUGGUGAUAUGAUGCAGAUAAUGACAUUUUGUAUCUUCUACUUUUAUAAAUGGAAUCUGGGCCAACAUGCUAUGUUAUCUGCUUAUUAUUAAUUGAUUAUAGGGUUACCACACAUCCUUCUUCUUCCAGAUGAGUCCAUAUUUUCAAGGAUUAAAUAAAUGCCCAAUGAAGGCUUUUCAAAAUCAAUACAAAUGCCUGGAAACUGAACCUAUGGAUUUUAAUUUCUAAAAAUCUUGGCUUUUAAUCACAAAAGCAAGCUAAAAAUCAAUUUCAAGAGAGAGAGGAUUGAAUUUUAGAAGUAGAGAAUGUACAUUUCCAAAAUGCUGUCAAAAAUGCAUAUGAUGAUUGCUUGCAAUAUCUGGAUAUAAAUAUAUCUAGAGCUAUUUAAAAAGUUUCAUUGCUUCAGGCAGAUGGCAUAUGAAAAAUUCUUGUAUGCAGAAACUAAAUUCAUCCUCAAAUACAUAUAAAGGGUAAAAGAAUCAACACUGGAGCUAGCAAACACUUUAGCCAUAUCUGCAAUCUAAAGAAAUUUGCAACUAUGUACAAAAAUGAAAAAAAAAAAAAAAUUAUGUUUUGUUUCAUUAAAAAGGUUGAGGGGGUUCAGUACAUCAAGCAUUCCAAAAGUAUCAAAUGACAAUCCGAGUUCCUCAAAAUUAUACAAUUCUUCUCUGCCAUUCCUGCCCAUAGUUGCAGUGUGUGAAAGACAAUUUUAUUUAAUUGAAAUUCAAUGAUCGAAAGAAAGGAAUCACCUUGCUUCAGAGUCAGUGAAUGAAUUAAACCAGAUAAGUAUAACUCUUAUCAUUUCAGUUGUGUUGCAUUCUAUUUGAACCUGCUAAAAUAAUCUAACAUUUUAAAGCAAAUUAAAUCAUUAGCAUUUGUUACUUAACUAUGUUAUAUAAAUGAUGUACUUUCAAAUGGAACAUGAAAGACUGAAAUUUGAUUAAAAAAUUUAAAAAAUGCA